AAGCGUGCGCAGGCGGUUUUGUAAGACUGUCGUGAAAUCCCCGGGCUCAACCUGGGAAUGGCGAUGGUGACUGCAAGGCUAGAGUUUGGCAGAGGGGGGUAGAAUUCCACGUGUAGCAGUGAAAUGCGUAGAUAUGUGGAGGAACACCGAUGGCGAAGGCAGCCCCCUGGGUCAAAACUGACGCUCAUGCACGAAAGCGUGGGGGAGCAAACAGGAUUAGAUACCCUUGU
rnacentral:rRNA from 1 species